AUACGAGGAUGACAAGACCUCACAGCGUUAUUGUGAGAAUUAAAUAAGGUUCUGCAAGGGUUUAUCACAGUGCCUGACACACAGCCAGCGCUGAAUAAAUAUUUACGAUGAGGAGGAUGAUAAUGAAAUCAAAAGGAACGCAAUUCCAUUUGUUCCUGUUGCCUCUUGAUGACAAAAGUGAUGCAGCACCAACGUGUGGGUUCAGCUGUGAAGCCCAACCAGCAUGGCAGGUUCCAGGCAGAGCAGAUGGCCUCCUGCCAAGUGCAGAGCUGCCGGUACAGCUGUCAGGAAGUGACAGGGCAUUUGCCAAAGUGGUUGACAACCGAUGAGAGCUCAUGCAUUAAGCCCCUUCCACAGCUUUGAGUGCUGUCACCUUGUGGCAGUGUUUCUGGGAACAGCUCUAACUAGAUAAAUUGCCUGAACUGAGACCUCAGAAGGAGUAAACAGACAAGUCCGAGAGACCCUUCUCCACCUCCUCCACCUUCCUGCACCACAGGUGAAGACAGCCACUCUGGCCACCUACACUGCCUCGCUGCCCGUCCUCCAGGCAGGAGAGCCUUAGCCAGAUGCCUACGUGGAGUCUGGCCUCCAUUUUUAGCACCUGAAGCCAGUGCCAUUUCUACAGGAAUGGUGGAUGCAUUUAUGCUCCUUCACCGUUACCAAAGCCUAGUUAUUCCAAACUCAAGCUUCUAUGCCUCAUAAAGCAGAAGUCGCUUAAGCUGAGAGGAUGUCAUGAUGCUCAAGGAGGAAACCUUUGACAUGUUCACCUGGGUCCCUAGUCCCCCAAACAGGGGCUACAAUUCAACUCAGCUCCCUGUAAUAAUAUUUCCUGGAGGCUUGUUAUCUACCAGAUACUAUGGUGUAACCAAAGAUUCCACCAAUGGAUCAUACUCCUCUUCCACAGUAUAAAAAUUCUUGCUGAAACCAGAUGUCCAGACGGGAUAUACAAGACCCUGCACCUUUUUAUAUCUAGGUGGUCCAAAUGACUGAGUGCUGGCCAAGGGAAGGUAGGAGCAAUGGAAUUUCCUUGUGGGAGUGGUGCAGACAGUGGCAGAAAGCUCUACUCCUUUCCACAAUUGUAAUUCAGACAUACAGACAUCUAUCUGGCAGACUUGGAUUGGAUGGGAAGCCCAAGAAGGAAUUUACUCUAAGGAGCACUGAAGCCUUCAGAUUUCUGAUGGGCACCAGAGGUCUGGAGGGGAGCGCUGGGCUGAGAGCAGGGCUGAUCCUGAUACUGAAGACUUCCCCAAGCCAGUCACAAGAGAAACUGCUUGUCCUUGAAAAGAAAGAAAGAACAAUAUAU
rnacentral:lncRNA from 1 species